AAGUCGGGCCUGCCCACUGAGUAAUAGAAGGGCCGCGGUAAUUUGACCGUGCAAAGGUAGAAAAAACAUUAGUCUUUUAAUUGAGGGCUUGUAUGAAUGGUUUGACGAAGUAUUAACUGUCUCUUUAUUAUAUAUAGAAUUUAUUUUUUGAGUUAAAAAACUAAAAUAUAUAUAUGGGACGAGAAGACCCUAUAGAGCUUUAUUAAAUUAUAAGGUAUAUUUGUUUAGAGAAAAGUUUUUUAUAUUUUAUAGUUAUAUUAUGUUGGGGAGACAUAAAGAUAAAAUAAACUCUUUAUUUAAUUAUACAAAAAUUUAUGAAUACAUGAUCCAAUAUUAUAGAUUAAAAGAAAAAGUUACCUUAGGGAUAACAGCGUUUUCACUUGAGAGUUCUUAUCGAAAGAGAAGAUUGCGACCUCGAUGUUGGAUUAAGAGAAAGAUUAAAUGCAGUAGUUAUAUUAAUAAGUCUGUUCGACUUUAUAAUUCUUAC
rnacentral:rRNA from 1 species